CUUAGUUAAUUCCCUGGUAAUUUCUGGUUAAUCCGGGAUUUCCUAGCUAAGAUGCAGGUAAUGGACACUAGUCCGAUCGUUGUAAUGGCCACGACACCUACGAAUGACCGCCAGUUCGUAGCCCUGUCCCUAGUAGUUAAGAUGAGGGAAACAUGUGCUGCUAGCCCAACCAGCCUUUACAACAUUGCCGUUCCCGGAAGCGGGACAAACUCCGGCAAACCUUACCCCUGAUAGGAG
rnacentral:sRNA from 1 species